UAGGGAAUCUUCGGCAAUGGGGGGAACCCUGACCGAGCAACGCCGCGUGAGUGAAGAAGGUUUUCGGAUCGUAAAGCUCUGUUGUUAAGGAAGAACGAGUGUGAGAAUGGAAAGUUCAUGCUGUGACGGUACUUAACCAGAAAGGGACGGCUAACUACGUGCCAGCAGCCGCGGUAAUACGUAGGUCCCGAGCGUUGUCCGGAUUUAUUGGGCGUAAAGCGAGCGCAGGCGGUUAGAAAAGUCUGAAGUGAAAGGCAGUGGCUCAACCAUUGUAGGCUUUGGAAACUGUUUAACUUGAGUGCUGUAGGGGAGACUGGAAUUCCUGGUGUAGCGGUGAAAUGCGCAGAUAUCAGGAGGAACACCGAUGGCGAAGGCAGGUCUCUGGGCAGUAACUGACGCUGAGGAGCGAAAGCAUGGGUAGCGAACAGG
rnacentral:rRNA from 1 species